GACGAACGCUGGCGGCGUGCUUAACACAUGCAAGUCGAACGGUGAAGCGCCUUCCUUUUUGGUGGGUGUGGAUGAGUGGCGAACGGGUGAGUAACACGUGAGUAACCUGCCCCCUUCUUCUGGAUAACCGCAUGAAAGUGUGGCUAAUACGGGAUAUUCUGGGUCUGUCGCAUGAUGGGUCUGGGACAGCUAUUGUUUCGGUGGGGGAUGGGCUCGCGGCCUAUCAGCUUGUUGGUGGGGUGAUGGCCUACCAAGGCGGUGACGGGUAGCCGGCCUGAGAGGGUGGACGGUCACACUGGGACUGAGACACGGCCCAGACUCCUACGGGAGGCAGCAGUGGGGAAUAUGGCACAAUGGGCGCAAGCCUGAUGCAGCGGCGCCGCGUGAGGGAUGGAGGCCUUCGGGUUGUGAACCUCUUUCGCCAGUGAAGCAGGCCUGCCUCGUUUGUGGGCGGGUUGACGGUAGCUGGAUAAGAAGCGCCGGCUAACUACGUG
rnacentral:rRNA from 1 species